rnacentral:rRNA from 1 species
CAAAAACAUAGCUGUGUGAUAUUACUCACAGUAUUUUCUGCUCAAUGAGUUAUUAAAUAGCCGCAGUACCUUGACUGUGCAAAGGUAGCGUAAUCAGUUGUCUUCUAAUUAAAGUCUCGUAUGAAAGAAUAUAUGGGGGCCCACUUUACCAGUGGCAGGAAGUGAAAUUGAUAAGUGAGUGCAAAUGCUCAUAUUACAUAAAAGACGAGRAGACCCUAGAAAUUUUUACGUUAGUUUUUGUUGGGGCAACAUAGUAACAAGUAAUUUACUAUAUGUAUAUGAAAUAUUUUAGGGAGUUUAAAUUACUCUAGGGAUAACAGCAUAAUUUAAAAAAGUUUGUGACCUCGAUGUUGGAUUAGGAAGUUAUAGCUUAAAAGGUUGUUAAUUUUGCUCUGUUCGAGC